UUCUAGGUCAAAGCAGCAACGCAAUCUCGAGUCUCGUUAUAGUAUUCCACUUUUCAUUGCUUCAUCACACGAUCAGAUCUAGAUCAAAGGUUUGGGACAUUUACCACAACAAUGUGGCUCUUCCUAUAUCAAUCAGCUCAAUGACGGUUUUGUGUCUUAUUCUAAUAAUCUAUAUAUAACCGCUUGCCAUUCCAAUGAUGAAGAGGGUAGAAAUCUCGAAGAGCAACCUUUUCGUAAACUUGUUGCUCUUUAGAUUUUGAUGAACCGCACCUAAGUUCUUAGCUGUCGAAUCUAGCGCCUAAUUAAGCUUGCCUCUCAAGUCCCAACGUUUUCAACCCUUCGAUAGAU